UUGAGGUGGGGUUUUGUGGUUUUUGAAAAAUCUGUGCUUGGUUAUGAAGUAAAAUUGGCUAAAAAAAGCUUUUGAAGAAAAAAAAAUGGGUUGCUUUUCUUGCAUGAGGUUUAAUCGAAAAGAUGUAAGAGAUUUUGAUGAAGAUAUGGGUUCAAGAUCCAUCAAAUCUUCAGGGAAAGGUAUAAAAGGACGUUCUUUUGGAGGGAAAGGUGGGGAUAGCAACAACCAUAAGGGUAAUGUCGCGCGCAGUUUCACAUUCAAAGAACUUGCCUUAGCAACCCAGAAUUUCAGAGAAGCUAAUCUUAUUGGCGAAGGUGGUUUUGGAAGUGUGUACAAGGGCCGCCUUGAAUCAGGCCUGGUUGUUGCAAUCAAACAACUUAAUCUUGACGGCCUUCAAGGACACCAGGAGUUCAUUGUGGAGGUCCUCAUGUUGAGUUUAUUACAUCACAAAAAUCUUGUCAACUUGACCGGAUACUGCACCGAUG
rnacentral:misc_RNA from 1 species